GAUGAAGAACGUAGCGAAAUGCGAUAGCUAAUGUGAAUUGCAGAAUUCAGUGAAUCAUCGAGUCUUUGAACGCACAUUGCGCCCCCUGGUAUUCCGGGGGGCAUGCCUGUCCGAGCGUCAUUGCUGCCCUCAAGCACGGCUUGUGUGUUGGGCUCCGUCCCCCCGGGGACGGGCCCGAAAGGCAGCGGCGGCACCGAGUCCGGUCCUCGAGCGUAUGGGGCUUUGUCACCCGCUCUGUAGGCCCGGCCGGCGCCAGCCGACAACCCAUCAUCCUUUUCAGGUUGACCUCGGAUCAGGUAGGGAUACCCGCUGAACUUAAGCAUAUCAAUAAGCGGAGGA
rnacentral:misc_RNA from 1 species